UACGUAGGUGGCAAGCGUUGUCCGGAUUUACUGGGCGUAAAGAGCGCGCAGGCGGUCGUUCAAGUCGCGUGUGAAAGCCCCCGGCUCAACUGGGGAGGGUCACGCGAUACUGAUCGACUCGAAGGCAGGAGAGGGUAGUGGAAUUCCCAGUGUAGCGGUGAAAUGCGUAGAUAUUGGGAGGAACACCGGUGGCGAAGGCGGCCAUCUGGACCGGUCCUGACGCUGAGGCGCGAAAGCGUGGGGAGCAAACAGG
rnacentral:rRNA from 1 species